UGUGGACUUCUGAUUUUACUGUGCUAGAUUCUCUGCUUCUUGCCCGUUCCCUUCUGUUUGAAGCUGAUAUUACUGGCUUCUGCUAUUCGGUAACAAAGGUCCACCGUAUAGACUAGGAUUCCUGCUUUUAACAUCUCUUCUCCACUCUUCUCGUGGUUUCCGUCCUCGUCCAAUCGUCCUCCGCCGCUGUCGCGAGCCCUCCGUCUCUCCCCUACACCGCUCCUCCCUCUCGUCUCUCUCCUUCCCUCUCCCACUCGGAUCUCCCUCAGCACUCGCAGAGGCUCGCUGCGAUGGGGCCCAUGGCGGGGCUCCAUGCCCUCGCCCACCUUUCCCUACGCAUGGCGGCGGCGCUGUCGCCGCUCGCAGUGACUGGGCUUUCACCGUCGUCUUUGCCGUACUCGCUGUACUCCUCUCCACUGGCGACCUACCUCUGCAUAGCUUCAGCCACUACCUCACUAAUGACUGGAUCCGCGGCGUCUUCGCGGGGCGUCCAUAGGUAUGUUUUGUUCUACAUCCUAUCUCUGUCUCCCUCAUGUUCUCUUCCAGAUCUCAAAGGCUACAGGUUAAAGCUCCAAGGUAGCGACACACAGGGUCUUCACUUUCCUGUCCACUCGAAGGCGAAGCUGACCCAGUCUGCUGGUGUAUGGCCUGAGGGCCUUCCUUCAAAUCUAAAUGGUGGGAAAUCCGAUUGUUGAUUUGAGGUCUGUCGAGUGGGACAACGAGCUGGGAGUUGUGAAUUUGUGCCUUAACCAAGUUCCGUAUUCAGGAUUGUUGGUAGCAGCUGGUAGCCUGGCAACUUCUGCUAAUCUUGAACAUGAAGGUCACGGUCUAGCUUUGAAAACAUACUGACUAAUUAACAAAAUAUUUUGUGUGUCCAAUUAAAAUGAGGAAAUUGGUAGGCAUUUCCAUCAAAUGACUAAGUGGUAUUCCUUUGGUCUGUAUGUUGACCACAGUGACAAGUCGCAAAAAACGAGCCCAAGGACGGAGGCCUGAAGCCAUUUCCAACAGGUAUGUCUGAUCACAUUCUACAGGUCGAGCAGCUAAGUGAAGAUACAUUCUGCUUAAGUCUUUUCUAUGUUUUGAUAGCUUCGCUUUUGGGUCUUCAUGUAUCUCAACAUUACUCUUUAUGAGAAGCACUUUUACAUCAAUCGUCCAUUUGUGUGGUAUGUACUGUUUAGGAUUUUUUUUGAUAUUGUUAAUAUCAAGAAUCUUCGAUGCAUGGCAGCAUAGGAUUGCAGCAAAUUCAUACUUAUUGUCUCCCAGCUAUUUACCUUCCAGUUGUACCCUGCUUAUUAGAUAUUCUAUUAUCCUAAACCAUAUUGUAUAAGAUUUUUAGUUUCUGAGCCUUGCCUACUAAGUCUUUGAGAAAAAUUAGAUAUGCCAAUUUGGGAUGCAACCAAGUGCUAUUAUUAUGAUGGGUGUAUAUAUCUAUAUGGUACCUCUGUGCUUAGUUCAUGUCAAAAGCUUUUUUUGCUGAUGCACCGUCAGCUGUCAGCGGUGCAAAUGAUGAAAAUCUGAUGAAAAUAACAUCAUGCAGGUAGACAAUAUAGGCUGAUGACCUUGCUCACCUAUUAGCGUACUUACCAUUAUAAUUUGUUCCUCGGAUUUUGUGUUUAUAUAUGUUUAAUAAUUUUGUUUUUUUGCAGGUUCUAAUUUCUAUGAUUGCUCUUGUUAUACAAUAUAUUCAGUACAGACUCAUGCCCUAUCUGGUUGUAUGUAACUAUCAGGACCGCAUCAUCGUACAAGAGAUACUUUUAACAACUCCUCAAUGGACACCUCAGACAAUGACAAUCAAGGUUGAGAAUCCGACCACCACAGCAAUGUUCCAUUGAUCGUUUGUACAACUACAUCCAAAUGUACAAGAUGCUCCAAUCAAGUUGCUACUAACCUUGUAUACUAUCUGUACCUAGCACUCUGAAAUACUUUUCCAUAGUUACUACAAGCCCCACUAGACGCCGCUGCAUCUACUUGCUCCUAGCCCUGUAUUAUAUUUUGACCCGAUGAACCGUAGUGCUUUGGUAUGCCUACUGUACUUCAUGGUUUUAUCAAACUAGGUUUUUAUUUGUAUAUAUGUAGACCAAAAAACAUGUGCCGUCAAACUCCUGCCAAGUACUAAUUACCUCCAUGUAUAGUAUCUGUAUAAUUAUUGCUUGAACCUGCUACUAUAUUAGUCCAUAUUAUGUGUGCCAUGCAAUACCGA